AUAGAUCUUUUUGAUAUGUCUCUUCAAAUGCAACUGACCAAAUCAUUGAAUUCAAUCCACAGCAAGAGCGGGUGAGGUAUAAGAAGCAUUCAACAAGUCCGUGAGAGAGGGAUGGACUUUCUCUACAACUAUUGCGAAACAAGACAUAUGCAAAUCCGAAACAGGGAAGUACGAAACUAAAGGGAAAGUCUAUCGAUGAACUCCCUAGUUCCUAUGUUUGCUUUGAGGCAGUGCUAAUUGCUAAUGUGUGAACUAUCACUAUACUUUAAUAGAUUUGAAUUGCGAUAAAUCGUAUUUCGCCCCGGAAGGCGUAGUCAAACCCCGAAACUUCAACUUCAAUCGAACCAUUCGUAUACGUUAUGAGCUCGAGCUUGUGGAGAUGUUAGUUGCCAACUCGAAUUCAUGUAAUCCGGCUGGGAGCUGAAUUGCCUACUUCCCCACUAUUGUCUGUCCCGAAACUUGUUUCCCCUCUUGUUUACUAGCGAAUCCGGUAAAUACUUUAUAAAGGAAAGGUAUGUCAUCACAAAACACAGGUUCAACUCGGAGACCCGUCCCGUAACCCUACUCCAGUCUCGCACACCCCAUCCAGGCAAAGCAGUCUUCCCAAACUAACUAAUUGUUGAAUUAAUACUUGCUAUACUAAUAGCUCUUCAAUCUGUUUAUUGCUGCUUCAUUGUCCUUUCCCUUUGCUCUAGCGUUAGUCGCAGGAAUCCCUCUUGCGUUAGUCGUAGUCAUCUAUUCGUAGAAAUCGUAAGAAAGAUCGUGGGAACCUAC
rnacentral:lncRNA from 1 species